CUCAAGAAAUUGGCGGGAGGGCGCACAAGCGGUGGAGCAUGUGGUUUAAUUCGACGCAACGCGAAGAACCUUACCUGGCCUUGACAUCCAGAGAACUUUCCAGAGAUGGAUUGGUGCCUUCGGGAACUCUGAGACAGGUGCUGCAUGGCCGUCGUCAGCUCGUGUCGUGAGAUGUUGGGUUAAGUCCCGUAACGAGCGCAACCCCUAUCCCUGGUUGCUAGCAGGUAAUGCUGAGAACUCCAGGGAGACUGCCGAUGACAAACCGGAGGAAGGUGGGGAUGACGUCAGGUCAUCAUGGCCCUCACGGCCAGGGCUACACACGUGCUACAAUGGCGCGUACAGAGGGCUGCCAACUCGCGAGAGUGCGCCAAUCCCUUAAAACGCGUCGUAGUCCGGAUCGGAGUCUGCAAUUCGACUCCGUGAAGUCGGAAUCGCUAGUAAUCGCGAAUCAGAAUGUCGCGGUGAAUACGUUCCCGCGCCUUGUACACACCGCCCG
rnacentral:rRNA from 1 species